GACGAACGCUGGCGGCGUGCUUAACACAUGCAAGUCGAACGGAAGGGCCCUGCUUUUGUGGGGUGCUCGAGUGGCGGACGGGUGAGUAUCACGUGAGUAACCUGCCCUUGACUUUGGGAUAACUUCAGGAAACUGGGGCUAAUACCGGAUAGGAGCUCCUGCUGCAUGGUGGGGGUUGGAAAGUUUCGGCGGUUGGGGAUGGACUCGCGGCUUAUCAGCUUGUUGGUGGGGUAGUGGCUUACCAAGGCUUUGACGGGUAGCCGGCCUGAGAGGGUGACCGGCCACAUUGGGACUGAGAUACGGCCCAGACUCCUACGGGAGGCAGCAGUGGGGAAUAUUGCACAAUGGGCGGAAGCCUGAUGCAGCAACGCCGCGUGCGGGAUGACGGCCUUCGGGUUGUAAACCGCUUUCGCCUGUGACGAAGCGUGAGUGACGGUAAUGGGUAAAGAAGCACCGGCUAACUACGUG
rnacentral:rRNA from 1 species